rnacentral:rRNA from 1 species
CCGGUGACGUAUCCUUCAAAUGUCUGACUUAUCAGCUGUCGAUGGUAGACUCUGCGUCUACCAUGGCGCUCACGGGUGACGGGGAAUCAGGGUUCGAUUCCGGAGAGGGAGCCUGAGAAACGGCUACCACAUCCAAGGAAGGCAGCAGGCACGCAAAUUACCCACUCCCGGCACGGGGAGGUAGUGACAAAAAAUAACGAUACGGGACUCAUCCGAGGCCCCGUAAUCGGAAUGAGAACACUCUAAAUCCUUUAACGAUGAUCUAUUGGAGGGUAAGUCUGGUGCCAGCAGCCGCGGUAAUUCCAGCUCCAAUAGCGUAUAUUAAAGUUGUUGCGGUUAAAAAGCUCGUAGUUGGUUCUGCGUGCCACGCUGUCGGUUCACCGCCUGCCGGUGCAACUGGCAUGCCGUGGCAUGUCCUGCCGGUGGCGGAUAGGCCUCGCGGCGCUCCCUAUGCGGCAUCCGCCGUGUAGGUGCUGUCGCCGCGUCGUCCUUGUACGCCGACUCAAUCCUACCGCGGUGCUCUUUACCGAGUGUCGAGGUAGGCCGGCACUGUUUACUUUGAACAAAUUAGAGUGCUUCAGGCAGGCUCUUAAAUCAGCCUGAAUAGUGGUGCAUGGAAUAAUGGAACAGGACCUUGGUUCUAUUUUGUUGGUUUCCGGAAUCCAAGGUAAUGAUCAAUAAGGACAGGCGGGGGCAUUCGUAUUGCGACGUUAGAGGUGAAAUUCUUGGAUCGUCGCAAGACGCACUAAAGCGAAAGCAUUUGCCAAGUAUGUCUUAAUUGAUC